CGACGGUACGCGGACUUCGGUCUGGCGACGAGUGGCGAACGGGUGAGUAAUGCAUCGGAACGUAUCCAUUUGUGGGGGAUAGCCCGGCGAAAGCCGGAUUAAUACCGCAUAAUCUCUGAGGAGGAAAGUGGGGGACCUUCGGGCCUUACGCUGAUGGAGCGGCUGAUGUCGGAUUAGCUUGUUGGUAGGGUAAAGGCCUACCAAGGCGACGAUCCGUAGCUGGUCUGAGAGGACGACCAGCCACACUGGAACUGAGACACGGUCCAGACUCCUACGGGAGGCAGCAGUGGGGAAUUUUGGACAAUGGGGGCAACCCUGAUCCAGCCAUGCCGCGUGCGGGAAGAAGGCCUUCGGGUUGUAAACCGCUUUCAGACGGAAAGAAACAGUACAAGCUAAUACCUUGUACGAAUGACGGUACCGUCAGAAGAAGCACCGGCUAACUACGUGCCAGCAGCCGCGGUAAUACGUAGGGUGCGAGCGUUAAUCGGAAUUACUGGGGCGUAAAGAGUGCGCAGGCGGCUCUUCUAAGACAGGGGUGAAAUCCCCCGGGGCUUAACCUGGAAAUGGCGCUUGUGACUGGAGAGCUAAAGUGGGGCAAAGGGGAAUGGAAUUCCUGGUGUAGCCGGGAAAUGCGUAAAUAUCCAGGAGGAACACCCAUGG
rnacentral:rRNA from 1 species